AUGGAAGUGUCGCGCCUCAAAACGUUCAUGAGGAACAAUGCAAGGCUCCAAUCACUUGGACUACCUACAUUAUCAACAUUGUUUGCAAACAAAGAUGUCAUUUCACCUGAAAAAAGAAAGCCCGAGCAUACUUGUGCUGAAUCUGAAGCUGAGUACCAUCCUAAGGAGGAGGACACCAGUGAAGGAGACUUGUCUGAUGAUAGUUUAAUAGAUGAGAGGGAAGUACUGCAAGACUUAAAGUCCACACCAUCUCCUAGCUCAAAGUUGAAGGGGUUGAACGACUGUAAGAAGACCAGUGAGGAAACUAAUAAGAAAAUAUCUACUGCCAUGGCCCCUGGUGGAAUCAAGCCUCGGCCUCCUAAAAGAAUUCAUGCGGAGCUUCCAACGAAUGUGCGAGUCAGCAGGUCGAACAAAAGACUAUUACUAGAUGCUGAUGCAAGUCCUCAAAGUGAAGGGGUGUCAGAUCCUAAACAUCAAACACCAAUUGCAAUCCAUGGCGACCGUGCCCAUUCUGAUGAUGACUACUGGAUGAGCAAUGGAUCUGAUCUCAUUGCCCGUCAUGAUGAUGGCAACCAUAUGGACUUCGAAGCUGGUGGGCCACGAUCCUAUGAGGAGACAAGGGAAAGGGGGUCAAUAUUGGAAAAGGCCUGGAAAGGAUCAGUCGACGUCGGGGGGGCAAGCUGCCGCUUGUCAUUCCAGAAGGGAGGUUAA
rnacentral:rRNA from 1 species